AACGAGAAAGGGGAGCAAUCCCUGAGUAAAGUGGCGUACGGGUGAGUAACACGUGGAUGAUCUAUCUCUUUGUGGGGAAUAACCCUGGGAAACCGGGGAUAAUACCGCAUAAGCCCGAGAGGGGAAAGCAGCAAUGCGCUGAGAGAGGAGUCCGCGGCCGAUUAGCUAGUUGGCAGGGUAAAAGCCUACCAAGGCAGAGAUCGGUAGCCGGCCUGAGAGGGCACACGGCCACACUGGCACUGAAACACGGGCCAGACUCCUACGGGAGGCAGCAGUGGGGAAUCUUGCACAAUGGGGGCAACCCUGAUGCAGCGACGCCGCGUGAGCGAUGAAGCCCUUCGGGGUGUAAAGCUCUUUCGGCAGGGAAGAUUAUGACGGUACCUGCAGAAGCAGCUGCGGCUAACUACGUGCCAGCAGCCGCGGUAAUACGUAGGCAGCGAGCGUUGUUCGGAGUUACUGGGCGUAAAGGGUGUGUAGGCGGUUGUUUAAGUUUGGUGUGAAAUCUCCCGGCUCAACUGGGAGGGUGCGCCGAAUACUGAAUGACUUGGAGUGCGGGAGAGGAGAGUGGAAUUCCUGGUGUAGCGGUGAAAUGCGUAGAGAUCAGGAGGAACACCGGUGGUGUAGACGGCUCUCUGGACCGUAACUGACGCUGAGACACGAAAGCGUGGGUAGCAAACAGGAUUAGAUACCCUGGUAGUCCACGCCCUAAACGAUGCAUAUUUGGUGUGGGGCAGUUCAUUCUGUCCGUGCCGGAGCUAA
rnacentral:rRNA from 1 species